GCAGUAGCCCGUGGUGCUGGGAUCCGCUCGCGCCUAGGCGGGUGAGCCUCGAGGCUGGAUAGGACUGGAAACCUCAACCUACAUAAAACCUGCGCGACUGCGGGCCUCCCCACUUCGGAAAGGCGUUCGUCUUUGAAAGGGAAUCUAGAGUCACCGGAGCUGCGAUCACGUAGGGGCCUGUGUGUACCGAGUGCGUGCACCGCCUAGACAGUCCAAGGGGGUAAGCCCAACGGUCACGGAAAGAGACCCUUGUGGAGAAACGCCUGCCAGCGCCUGCGUGAAAAUCCUGCGGUUCGAUUCCAUACCCAAGGAACCGGAAGAAAAAAAAAAAAAGAUCCAGACUUCCAAACUUAAAUCAACAAAUCAAGUCUUCUGUUCACUUUCUAUUCGCAAAGCACUGCACAUAGCAGCUGCAUCAUGCACUGUUUCUGGGAUCUUAGUUACCCCACCAAGGAUUGAACCCCAGGCCCUCAGCAGUGAGAUCAUGAAAUCCUAACUACUGUACCAUCAGGGGAUUCCAUAUUCAACCUUUUGCAAAUGGUCUUAACUAUUUCCACAUGUCUGACAGCACAGCCUUUCAGGCAGAAGUCAACAGCCUCUAAGUGAAAAGCAAAUACAGUGAGUUUGGGAAUAGCACGGUGGCCCAAAUGAUUGGAGGAGGAUAAACUGGGAGGAGCAGUAGGACAUAAGGUCAGAGAAGACAGACAAGGGAAGAUUAUCCCUGCCUUUAUAAGACUUGUGGCUUUGACUCUGAGUGAACUGGGAAGCCAUGUGGGUUUUGAGUAGAAGAAUGACCUGAUCUGACAUGAACUGCUAGAUUCAGAAAAGACUGUAUUUAAUUCAGCUAUAUUGUUCUCUACAGAAGAAAGACUGUGGAAAUAGAAAACAUAAAGUCGAGUGGAAGAAAGAGCCUGAAGAGCAGGAAUCAGGGGUGUUUAUAUCCAAAAUUCUGGACACAUUUCCUCUAAGAUGAUGCAUGAAUAGGGGACGGUGAAAUAGCCCUUAAGAGUUAAUAAUUUUUAAAAAAAGAGUUUAUCAUAUGUGCUCUGCACCUGUGCUCCCCACUCAUAUGCCACCUCCUUCAUCUGAGUUCUUCCUUUGUACUGGGCACUGAUGAUGGCACAGCAGAUGCAGCCAUGAACCAGACAGACAUAUCCAGAGGAGAUGGAGAUUGCUGGAGGGGAGCAAAAUUUUUUACCCCAAAAUGUACCUCUUUCACAUGAGGAUUAAUUUAGGUUGAUUAUUUUUGUUCUUGUUACCUCCCCCUUAACUGCCUAAAAGAAUUUAGAUAAAAGGCCUGUUCCUAGAAUAGGGCCAUUAUGGGAAACGUCAGCAAAGAAUAUAGACUAGGUGUGAAACAGGAGGGAAGGGGGCAGGACACAAUUUUGAAAGAAUGACAUAGCGUGAGGACACAACAGACACCAGUUAGAAUCAAAUGGGUCCAAGAUGGCAGACAAGACAGUUCCAAGGCAUCAUCAAAGACCAAAAGGUGAGCAGGGGGCCCAAUUCCAGGAAAUCUCCACCCCUUCCCCAAAAUAGUUGGAAUAAUCCUCCCACUCAUUAGCCUAUGAAGUUACCCAGCCUAUAAAAACUAACCACACCACGUUUGGAGGACACUGCACUCGCCCUCUGUGAUGGCCCACACUCUGUCUAUGAAGUGUGUUUCUCUCUGAAUAAAUCUACUUCUUAACCUAUCACUUUAUCUCUCACUGAAUUCUUUCUACAAUGACACAUCGAGAACCUGAGGUUCAUUAUGGUAGGUUUUGGCUGGGUUCGAGUCCUAGCCAUGUGGCUUAGAGUCCCAAACUGGAUUUGAGCCAGGUUCAAGUCCCUACCAUGUAGGUUCAAGUCCUCAGUUCAAUUCAGUCAUUCAGUCAUGUGCAACUCUGUGACCA